rnacentral:misc_RNA from 1 species
UUAAUUAAUUUAAUAAUUGUCUCAGACUGCAUACUUCAGACAGCGUUCACAGGUGGCUUCGGCGGGCGCGGGCCCGGGGGCAGAUGCCCCCCGGCGGCCGUGAGGCGGGCCCGCCGAAGCAACAAGGUUCGUUAAACACGGGUGGGAGGUUGGACCCCGAGGGGCCCUCACUCGGUAAUGAUCCUUCCGCAGGUUCACCUACGGAAA